UGCCAAUCACAUUUUCAUUAUUUCCUCACCAAUACUGGCAGUGGUAAUUCCUUGUACACUAAUGCAUCUUUUCCAUCCAGUUAGAUACAACUUAUGUGAAAUAAACUGCCAAGAGUCUCCUUGGAGCAUGGCUUCCUGCUUUAAGGAUUGUUCAGGGCAGCUGAUCUCCCUUCCAAGAUGGAAAUAUUGCUCUGGAAAAAAGUCUUUCAGGCCUCUUCUAGACUCAGGUCUUCCAUUUUCAAGAAGGAAUCCAUAUUUGAAGUUGUUCAUUGAAGCUUAAAUUUUGAUGAAGAUAUUAAAGAGACAUUUUCGUGGAAGCAAAUACUUUUUGAUCAACUGUGUCUUUGAGGUUUCACUUACUUGUCACCAUCUCUGGUUUUUUUCCCCAAGAAUUACAGGAGGAAAACCUUACAUAGUACCAGCUACAAAUAACGAUGAUCUACAAAAAUAAAAGAUUCAGAAUACUUUUUCA
rnacentral:lncRNA from 1 species